UCCAGGCGUGCAGAAUCAGGCACUACACCUGUACUGUACUUCAGCUGGUAAACUUAGAAAUGGUUUGCGACACCAAUGCUUUUGUUUAAAAAAUUAGCUGUCUUAUUUCUAGUGGUUGCAUCAUGCCGCUAGAUUCAACCAUCUUAUAUAUGCGACCGAUCUGAAGUGCCACGAAACCACCAAAAGUAUGUACGUAGAAAACAUAUGCACGAACUCGCAUGACGAGAUCGGCGUGUGUGCAAAGCGGGAGUUGAAGGCUAAGUGCAAAAAUAUACUUAAAAAAAUAAUGGAAAUAUUUGCAAUAUGUGCACUACAUUCACGGGACGAUUUUUGCAUUUUUAAAUACCUGCUUGCAGCUGUAUUUUAUUUUAUGUUUGCAAAUUUGCAGUAAUUUACGAAUCGCAGUCCACGAAAACGAAAGGUGACAGGCGUUUCCGAACACGCCACUGUCUUUGUGGGAUGUAGUAAUCCUUAUUACACGUGCUUUCUCUGGGACAUUACUGUGGUGGAUCAUCACUGUAAAGUGUUAAACAAACUGAUGCAAUAUUGGAUGCACAAAAAGGACAGGCUUUCCAAACGCAAGCUCAUAUCGCACAAAUACAAGAACGGAAUUUUGAGGAGAGAAAUGGAUGACCAGCAGUAUCGAUUCCCCCACAGCGAUAAGGAGUUAAAGAUGAAUGAUCUACAACCCACGGUUGCUGGAGAAUAUUUCUGUAAUGGUAUACAGGUUGCAGUCUUAACUGUGUCCUUAGAUACUGGAGACCACAUCACACAGGUCACCACUAAGAAGACUGGUGCAGAUAGUUUUGUAGAAGUUUAUGAGACCGAGAACAAAGAGACAGACACAGAACGUGUAAUGGCCACGGUAGUGAUGGGACUCUGUGUUCUGAUUCUGUUUGCUGCUCUUGUCUGCCUUUUCUUAUGGACCAAAAGGAGUAGCAGGCGCAAAGGAAAUAUUCCAUUCAGUAGAAACGAACUGGAAGCAGAAGGACCAAAGAAACAUCAGAAAGGACAUGAUCUGGGUGAGGUUCAGCCCAGUUACAUUCCCACUGUUUCAUAUGAGGUAGAUUUUAUGCAAGCUGUGUUGACUGAUUCGAGGUAACUGAUCUGCCAGCUGAUAUCCUGGGAGCCAGAAAUUAAUUUUACUGUGAUCAUACUGGUUUCUAGGCAACAUGUGAUAACCCACAACGAACUUACUGCUAUCUGAGCCUGUGCACAAAAUUAUGGCCAAUAAAAAUGAAAAAUAUCACAGAUCAUCUUCUCAACAUGCAUCCAGAAGAUUGGGAGAGUGGCCAUGAGGAAUGUUGCUUCUUGAAGAACGAGGUAGAUGCACACAAGUGCUGCCUGGAUGAAGACACUGAUAUGCACUAUACCUGUUGGGGUCAUCGGAGCUGGAGGGAGAGGCCGUACAUGCAAGAGGAAGACAGCCACGUUAUUGUCAUCUACUCUCUUGUGGCUGAUGGAAGGCCAGAUCCAUGACUGAAUCACAGGUGGGGGGGGGGUCAGUUGACCAGUUGUUUAUCUGAUGCCAACAGCAAUGGGCCGCCCUUUCUGGUCCUGUGCUGGUUCCACUGACUCACUGCCAGUUCAAAGAUUUGGCACGGCACAGAAUCGUGGACAAGAAGCCAACUUGUGUCUGCGUGCAUGACUGUGCCCUUAAGUGCUGUCAGCUUUGUAGGAGUGCAGGGUGGUAGGGAUUCUGCGAUGUGCAUGAGAACGACCAAUGAACAGCCAUUUAUGACGUCAGGUGACUUCUCUGCUCCAUACAGUAUAUAUCAUAUAAUCCGAAACACAUAACCACCAAUCACGCAGCCUGUCUCUCUGUAGCGAAUUGUGCCACUGCAAUAGACUAUUGAACGUGAAUAUAAUAUGGAAGAUAAGCGUGGCUUUUAAAUGCGUCACUAUAAUCCUUCAGUCUCACAAAAUGAAGGGUUAAAUGAACAUGCGGGAUGAUAAAGAAACGUCUUAUGUCAGAACAUUCAGAAGUUUCGAAUUUUCCUUGCUUGGUGAGUAAUGUUUCUUUGACAAGUGCUGGAAGUUUGACUGAAGAAGACAUUUGUUUUAUUUGUGUCAGUCCUUGGUGGGCUUGUAUGAAGCUAAUCGAGGCUCACAAAAUAUCCGUAUAUAUGCAUACAGUGUACAGUAGUUGUGCUGGUUCCUUAGUUGACCUCCUAAGUGUUGAGUUUAUUGAUAUAGCCUGAAGUAAAGAUUCCUUGACAUAAAUUUCAAGACAGUCAUGCGUACAAUUUUAUGUCUGCAUGUGCUUGAUAAAGAUUUGAGUAGGAAUCUAUUACUAAGGACAGAAUAUGACUUUAGAAGAUUUUAGAAAUUUAUAAAGUAGAACUAUGUGUAUUAAAGGUCCAUCAUUAAAUGAUGUAGAAUUGUAUGAAUUAUGUAUUAACAUGUAGUGGUGUAAUUUUUUUAAAUAUAAUUUCAAAGCUUUUUGUACUUAUUAUAACCUUAAUGUUGUUGACUGUUACAUAUUCCUGAAUAUGCUAUUACUAAAACUUAAUAAAUAUGCAAAUAUAUGUCUUAAUUAUUCAUUUCUUUUUCACUUUGUGCCCUCGGUAACAUAAUUGCAUCAAAGAACUUAAUAAAAAUCCUGUGAU